UACGGAGGAUGCAAGCGUUAUCCGGAAUGAUUGGGCGUAAAGCGUCCGCAGGUGGCUGUGUAAGUCUGCUGUUAAAGAGUGAGGCUCAACCUCAUAAAGGCAGUGGAAACUACAUGGCUAGAGUGCGUUCGGGGCAGAGGGAAUUCCUGGUGUAGCGGUGAAAUGCGUAGAGAUCGGGAAGAACACCGGUGGCGAAGGCGCUCUACUGGGCCGGAACUGACACUCAGGGACGAAAGCGAGGGGAGCGAAUGGG
rnacentral:rRNA from 1 species